ensembl:lncRNA
CGCAAUGCUAGCGCGGAGCUCGGACGUCACAGCCCUUGGUGGGCUUUGCUGUUACCGCAGUUACAUCUUCAGCACCACGCCUGGGUGUGAAAGAAGGAAACCAAGGUUUCCAUGGAAGAGAGACUAAAUAAUCAGAUCUCUUUGGAACCCUCAGACUUCCCUAGGGCUAGUAGAAAGAAGUAUUUGUAUCAUGAAAGGUGCCGGGACUCAAGGUGUGCACCCCCUCACCCAGCUCGAAGUCUGGAUCUUAAUCCUUCCCCAUAGGUGUGUGUAUUAAAGGUGUGGAUGGCUCUGUUGGGAGGUGAUGGAAACAGAGAGAGCUGGGUGGGUCUAGUGGAAAGUCUUCGGCCUAUUGGAGAAGGAUUAGUGGAAGUCUUCAGCUCAUUGGAGGAGGACUUUUGGCCUCCUCAGAGGCACCAGGCCAUUGGCUGAAGCUUCCAAAAGUUUUCAGAUUUGAUGGUCUCAGGUAUUUCAUUAUGGCGAUGGAAAACUGGCUGAUGCAACACUUAAACCAAAAAAAAAAAAUCAAUUUCUUUUUGUUUGCUUUGAUGUUUGUUGUACAUGGAAAUGGAUAACUGGCAAAACAUCUUUGUCAAAAGCUAACAAGUUCUCCAUUUCAAGUAGUACCGUGAAACUGUCGGAGUAGAUGUUUCUUGUCGUUUUCAGGAGCUAUUUCUGAUCACAUACAUCCUAAGAAUAUGUGUAGUUUUGUAGUUGUGAGUGAGAUGUUGGCUUCCAGGUCUCUACUCACCAAUGUCUAAAUAUUCUUUUGAGGGAAGAAAAAUUUCACGGAAAGUAAAAGGUUGGCUAAAAACAUAUCAAUAUAAUUAUUUAGCAAUUCAUGUGUGAAAUGCCAACGGUACCAAGUAAGUUCUGUGUAUAUGACAAAGAAAUAACUCAAGGUAAAUAUAUACAUUCUCCCUUCUCACCCCGACAACCAGUUAAACAGCUUUUUAAAGAGUUUUAUUUUAAAAUUUUUUUAAAUUUAUUUUUAGAUGUAUAGGUGUUUUGCUUACACGCAUGUCUGUGUGCGGUACCCUUGGAGGCCAUAGGAGUGUGGUGGAUACCUGGAACUGGAAUAAGAGAUAGAGAUGGUCGUGAGGGAUUAUGUCGGUGCUGGGAAUUGAAUCCAGGUCUCCUGGAGUAGUAGCUAGUGCUCUUAACCUCUGAGACAUCUCUCCAACCCCCAAAGUGUUUUAAAAAUAUGUUUCUGUGUCUAUUUCUUAAAUAUGCUACAGUUAAUGUAAGUGAAGUGGAUAAUGCGUCAGAGUAGUCAGAUUAUUAGUAAGUUCUAAUGUGUAAUGGGAUACUACUUUUCCCAAGCUAAUGGAUUACUUGGUAAACCAUUAUCUAUCUGUCUGUCUAUCUAUCUACCAAUAAAUCAUAUAUAUGUUUUAUAUUCGCUCAUGUAUAUAUCCCAUAUUUACGCAAUUGGUGAGUGCUAGUUAAUUCCCUACUGUGUGAUGAGAACUCCUAGAAAUUAAAAAGAAAAAAAAAAAAAAAGGAUCAGGGCAGACUGACUGUGCGCAGGUGACCAGAGCAGAGAGACUGUGUGAGGAAUGUCACCGGGAGUAUAGAAGGCGCUCACAUUUAGUCUAAUAAUAGCUACAAAUAAAGUGAAGGCAGGAGUAGAUCUUCUUAAUGCACAGAGGGUCAGCUCCUUGAAAUCCAUCAACCACAAGUGAAAAGAGUUUAAAUCACCUGUGACGUGUUAUAACCCUUUGAGGCUGGAUUAAAGGCUUGUCGCGAAACUGCGAGAAGGCUGGGCAAGAGAGGGGAAUAAAUUCUAGAGUCAGAAUUACCAGGAGAAGGGCAAUGUUCUAAGGGCUUCGAUGAGC